rnacentral:rRNA from 1 species
AGAGCGAACGCUGGCGGCAGGCCUAACACAUGCAAGUCGAGCGCCCCGCAAGGGGAGCGGCAGACGGGGGAGUAACACGUGGGAACGUACCCUUUGGUUCGGAACAACCCAGGGAAACUUGGGCUAAUACCGAAUAAGCCCUUACGGGGAAAGAUUUAUCGCCGAAGGAUCGGCCCGCGUCUGAUUAGCUAGUUGGUGAGGUAAAGGCCUACAAGGCGACGAUCCAUAGCUGGUCUGAGAGGAUGAUCAGCCACACUGGGACUGAGACACGGCCCAGACUCCUACGGGAGGCAGCAGUGGGGAAUAUUGGACAAUGGGCGCAAGCCUGAUCCAGCCAUGCCGCGUGAGUGAUGAAGGCCCUAGGGUUGUAAAGCUCUUUCAACGGUGAAGAUAAUGACGGUAACCGUAGAAGAAGCCCGGCUAACUUCGCGCCAGCAGCCGC